GGCGGGGCCUCGGAAACCUCAGACCAGUGUGUUAACCGGUGGGACUCAGUUACCAUGGAGACCGGCAUAAUGGCUGCCGGGCUGAGAGAGACAUUUAGAGCCGCACAGCAAACGAGGUGCCAAGUUUACAUCCAACAAGAUUUUGCUCAGGACAAACACAAAAACAUCGGAGCUGCUGGGCAGCAAAUGACCGGUGCAUGGUGACUGACCACCAACUGUUCUGCAGCCUGUUUAAUAACCACACCAGGUCAAAGGUCGCCUCCUGUCACAAAAGGCCUUGUUAUUUUCUCUGGCAUGAAUGGCUGACAACAGAUGACAAAUGGGAGCCACUGAUUGGGAUAAUUAACACGCAAUAAUGCAGAGAUGGUGAAAGACCUGCAUAUGAACUCAAAAACUAACCAGCUCUUGCAAAGUAAGCUCAACAUCCCUCAGCUGCAACUCUUGGAAGGUCAAAUUUGAACAGAUUUAUGUCGGAAAAAGGUAUCUGCAGGAAUUCUGAUCGGGAUCUGUGGAGGUUUUUCAUUCCUGGCUUGCAGAGAAACUCGAGUCGUCGAGCGUGUUUUGGUUUCCCUGCUGAGCCGAAUAUAGUGUGACAGAAAAGCUGCUGCUGUGAAGCACCAUUAACGCAUUUCCAAAUCAAACUAUGAAACUGAAACCAUCUUUGCUUUGGACACAGAUAAUUCAGGACAUUCUCUUCCCUCUGCAGCUGAGCAGAAUGGA